ACAUAGCACUCCUGUCUCCCGUUUGACUUCAUAUAGUGAAAAUUGUCUAAAAGAUAAGGCAGGAGCUCUGGUUGACACCCCCCCUGCCCCCGCCUCAUAGAUCUCUCUCUAGAAGCAUUGGAAGAGGCCGUCUCAAAAAAGAAAAAUAAAAUAGAAGCAUUGGAGGAAAGAUGUGGUUUGUAGUGAAACAAAUUGGAAGUCAAGCUCAGCCUCAACCACUUACUUGCUUCUGACCUUGGCAUUAGGAAGAGGCCGGGUGCCGUGGCUCACACCUGUAGUGCCAGCGCUUUGGAAGGCUAAGAUGGGCAGACUGCUUGAACUCAGGAGUUUGAGACCAGCCUGGGCAAUGUGUCAAGACCCCAUCUCUACAAGAAAUUUUAAAAUUAGCCAGGCAUUGUGGAAUCCUGCUUUGUGUAGUUCAGUGCCUGCUGCCAAGUCAGAGCUGUGACCUCAAUGAAAGUGGCCCAGCCACAGCAAACCUCAGUUUCCAUAACAGUCCUGGGAUCCAAUGUGGCUUUCACACUACAUGUCACUUCACUCUGUUAUCUCUGACAGAAAACCAACUCAAACUGGCUUAAGC
rnacentral:lncRNA from 1 species